GGUCUAAAUUGACUUUUAGGAUAAAACUCCAUUAUUUGCUUCACUAGCUACUUCUCUGGGAGUUAACAAGAUUGCUUUGAACUCUGCCUUCACCAUGGAGAGGAUUAAUCACCCACAGUGAGGCAUUCUCCCAGUAAAGCAGUAUAAGGACCUUCCCUAUUAGGACAUAAGAAGAAAAGAUGCUUGACAAUGAUGGAGAGAGAAGAGGUUUUCUUUUCUUGUAAAGGGAUGCAUGGCAAGAGUUGGAUUGUAAUUACAUGAGUUGAAAUUUGAGACAAAAUUAUGGAUUAUUGCACCAGGGAUAAUCAAUAAUUCCCCACCAGAACUAAAGCUAGUAAUAUUUCAUAUACAGCACAUUCAUUUCUGAAUUUAUCCUUUUCCCUCUCACUACUCAACAAGCUAUGACCUAGAACAAAGGUAAAAAAGAAACUUAAAAAAAAAGUUCAAGAAAAUCAUCAAAUAUUUUAACCAUCUCUUUUAUAUAUGCAAUAUCCCCUCUCUAUUUCCCCACAGACACACUCUGCAAUGAAGAGAGGUAAGUUCAUUUUCUCAACCAUCUUUAGAGCCAAAUUUGGUUAUUGUAAUUAAAUGGAUUUUAGUUUUGUUUUAUUAUUCCCAUUUCCAUUGC